rnacentral:rRNA from 1 species
CCUACGGGCGGCAGCAGUGGGGAAUAUUGGACAAUGGGCGAAAGCCUGAUCCAGCCAUGCCGCGUGUGUGAAGAAGGCCUUCGGGUUGUAAAGCACUUUCAGUGGGGAAGAAAGCCUUGGGGCUAAUACCCUCGAGGAAGGACAUCACCCACAGAAGAAGCACCGGCUAACUCCGUGCCAGCAGCCGCGGUAAUACGGAGGGUGCGAGCGUUAAUCGGAAUUACUGGGCGUAAAGCGCGCGUAGGCGGUCUGAUAAGCCGGUUGUGAAAGCCCCGGGCUCAACCAGGGAACGGCAUCCGGAACUGUCAGGCUAGAGUGCAGGAGAGGAAGGUAGAAUUCCCGGUGUAGCGGUGAAAUGCGUAGAGAUCGGGAGGAAUACCAGUGGCGAAGGCGGCCUUCUGGACUGACACUGACGCUGAGGUGCGAAAGCGUGGGUAGCAAACAGGAUUAGAUACCCUGGUAGUC